UUGCCUGUGAUGAUAACAAUCACAAAUUACCAUCUUUCGGGACUGAUUGGCAUUAUUUGCCUUGCUGAUACAAUUCUGCAAUUCUGAGGCUC